AGAGUUUGAUCCUGGCUCAGGAUGAACGCUGGCGGCGUGCCUAACACAUGCAAGUCGAACGGAGUUCUUAAGGAAUGCGACUUCGGUCAAAUGACUUUUGAACUUAGUGGCGGACGGGUGAGUAACGCGUGAGCAACCUGCCUUUCAGAGGGGGAUAACAUUUGGAAACAGAUGCUAAUACCGCAUAAGAUUACAGUACCGCAUGAUACAGUGAUCAAAGGAGCAAUCCGCUGAAAGAUGGGCUCGCGUCCGAUUAGAUAGUUGGUGAGGUAACGGCUCACCAAGUCGACGAUCGGUAGCCGGACUGAGAGGUUGAACGGCCACAUUGGGACUGAGACACGGCCCAGACUCCUACGGGAGGCAGCAGUGGGGAAUAUUGCACAAUGGGCGAAAGCCUGAUGCAGCAACGCCGCGUGAGGGAAGACGGUUUUCGGAUUGUAAACCUCUGUUUUCGGUGACGAACAAAUGACGGUAACCGAGUAGGAAGCCACGGCUAACUACGUGCCAGCAGCCGCGGUAAUACGUAGGUGGCAAGCGUUAUCCGGAAUUACUGGGUGUAAAGGGAGCGCAGGCGGGAUAGCAAGUCAGCUGUGAAAACUAUGGGCUCAACCCAUAAACUGCAGUUGAAACUGUUAUUCUUGAGUGGAGUAGAGGCAAGCGGAAUUCCGAGUGUAGCGGUGAAAUGCGUAGAUAUUCGGAGGAACACCAGUGGCGAAGGCGGCUUGCUGGGCUCUAACUGACGCUGAGGCUCGAAAGUGUGGGGAGCAAACAGGAUUAGAUACCCUGGUAGUCCACACUGUAAACGAUGAUUGCUAGGUGUGGGGGGUCUGACCCCCUCCGUGCCGGAGUUAACGCAAUAAGCAAUCCACCUGGGGAGUACGGCCGCAA
rnacentral:rRNA from 1 species